CCUACGGGGGACUGCAGUGGGGAAUAUUGGGCAAUGGAGGAAACUCUGACCCAGCCACGCCGCGUGAAUGAUGAAGGUCUUAGGAUUGUAAAGUUCUUUUCUAAGGGCAGCAGAAAGUGACGGUACCUUCGGAAUAAGCCUCGGCUAACUACGUGCCAGCAGCCGCGGUAAUACGUAGGAGGCAAGCGUUAUCCGGAAUGUCUGGGCGUAAAGGGUGCGUAGGUGGUUUGACAAAGUGGUAGCGUAACUCGAGGGCUCAACCUCGGCACUACUACCCAAACUGUCGGACUUGAGUGCAGGAGGAGCAAAUGGAAUUCCUGGUGUAGCGGUGGAAUGCGUAGAUAUUAGGAGGAACACCAGUGGCGAAGGC
rnacentral:rRNA from 1 species